rnacentral:lncRNA from 1 species
CCGGCCGGCGUCUGCGCGGGCCCCCACCCCCGCCCGCUGGAGGGACUUCGCCCUGGGCCUGAGGGGACGGUCGCUAGGCGGUCAGCGGCAGGAAGCGGGCGAAGCCUCCCGCGCCCACGUCGGCGGGCCCCCGCCUGGACCCGGGGGGGAAGGGGCACUGCCGGCUCGCGCUGGACAGAGACCGAAGGCAGCACUUUACCACGCAGGCUGUCGGCGGUCGGAGUCAGAGAAAUGCUGCGGGUUGACCCUGAGGGGGCCUUCCUCACAGGACCUGCUUUCCCUGGGUUGGUUGGAGUUGCGCCCUCUCAGGCAAGGUGCGUCCAAAGAAGUGAUUAGAUCUUUCUAGAUGAAAGGUGGUGGGUGAGGUUUUCAUGCUCAACUUGUAUGGAAAGUUACUGUAGUUUGCUAUCUUGAGUUUCUGAAAAACAGCUUACGGGCUGAACAACCAAUAGCUAAUACGAAUAGCGACUGGGACGAAUUACCCCGCUCCCACUCUGUGGGGCCCAUGAUUGGAUCCUUACGUAUGUUAUUCACUUUGACUCUUCCAGCAGCCCUGUGAAAUGAGGAAUAUUACUCUAUUUUGCAGAUAUGAAAUGUGCCAGAGCUGGGAUUCAGUCCUCAGGCCUGGCUGACUCCCAAGCCCACAGUUUUCUCAUUAUGCUGCACUAUAGGGUACAGCUUUCCCCUACUUAUAUUUAAUUUUUAAAUAUAAAGGGUUAUGCUUAAUUUCAAAAGAGGGAAUAUUUACUAUAUUUCCAAUAUGGGACAGGACUUUCUUCCCAGCCACCUCCUAAAUUCCUUCCAUUCACAUUCAUUGAAAGAACUUUCCUUGAGUGUCCACCAAAUGCCAGAGAUUCACCACGAACCCUGAAAAAUAAUAAUACGAACGUCCCCUUGGAAGUUAGAGAGAGCAUAGGGAAGGCAGGAGUGGGUGGAAGGCUGGAUGGGGGGAGAGAAUAUAUCCAGCUAAAUUUUGAUUCUUCCCGAGGCAGCCUUUCAGCAAGUAAAACUUCUUAAUGUUCAAUGAUAACAUACAUAUAAGUUGAGAAUUAAUAAUCCUUGACAGAAAAUAAUUAAAUCAGAACUAUAAAGGGAAUUGAGAUUUCUUAGUUAACACUGGCCAAAAAAUAUGAAGGAAAAGCCAAAGCAAUGCUGAGAAAAAAGAACAAAGCUGGAGGUAUCACAAUUCGCUAAUUUUUUUUUUUUAAGAUUGGCCCUGAGUUAACAUCUGUUGCCAGUCUUCCUCUUUUUUUUUUCUCCCCAAAGCCCCAGUACAUAGUUGUAUAUCGUAGCUGUAUGUCAUUCUAGUUCUUCUAUGUGGCAUGCGGCCUCAGCAUGGUUUGAUGAUCGGUGCUAGGUCCGUGCCCAGGAUCCGAACCACUGAAGUAGAAUGUGCAAAUUUAACCACUACACCACCGGGGUGGCCCCCUGAUUUUAAAAUAUACUGCAAAACUAUAGUAAUCAAAACAGCACUGUAAUAAAAAACUGGCACAAAAACA